UACGUAGGGGGCAAGCGUUGUCCGGAAUUAUUGGGCGUAAAGAGCUCGUAGGCGGUUUGUCGCGUCUGCUGUGAAAACUGGAGGCUCAACCUCCAGCCUGCAGUGGGUACGGGCAGACUAGAGUGCGGUAGGGGAGAUUGGAAUUCCUGGUGUAGCGGUGGAAUGCGCAGAUAUCAGGAGGAACACCGAUGGCGAAGGCAGAUCUCUGGGCCAUAACUGACGCUGAGGAGCGAAAGCAUGGGGAGCGAACAGG
rnacentral:rRNA from 1 species